GAAACAGUGGGGGGGAAAGCGCUGUGUUUUAAUAUGUGUUUUGAAACAUACAAUCCACUAAUAUUCAAUCGUCUAAUUGUUUAUAUUCAUAUCUGCAUACAUAAAUAGUAUUUGUAAAAAAAUCAUUACCUAACCGCAGCGGCCCUUUUAUAUAGCUUAUGUUUCCAGAGGAAGUAAAUACUCAGCACAUCGCGCCAAAUUCCAAAUUCUUAACAUUUUAAGCAUAGGGUCAUCUCACAAUGUCAGCUAAAAGGGCUCUCCAACUAGAGGACAAGGAAAACGUAUGUGACAAAGCGACACCAAUGAAGAUGCCAGCUUUGGAGAGGACAUUCUCUCCUUACACAGGUACUCGUGUGAUGAGCCCUGCCACUGGGACUAAAGGCAAUUACCAAGCUAGAAGGAAGACCAGCAGUGCCCACAAAACACAAGCUGCACAACAGCAUAAACUGGAGAAGUUGCGUUCCAAGGUAAAGAAAUCAGUACAGUCCAUCCUGAAAGCUAGGCAGGAUCUUGAAAGCCAUUUGCCAUUAGAGGGCAGCAGCGAGUUAAGAAGACUCUUUCCAAGGAGACCUGGUGACCUGCUGACAGAACUAGAGAAGCACAGGGAGCUCGUGGCCAAAGUUGAGUUGAGUUUUGCCAUGGACAUGGUGGAUAGACAGAGUCGUUUAACAGGCUUCCCUCCCACAGGGAACUCCCAUGAGUUUCUGAAGUCACUCCUACGAUAAGCACCUGCGGCGCAGAGGUGAAGAGUGCUGCUGGCCACAGCAACGUCCACAGCACUGGCUUACCCAGCCCUCCUUUAAAGCUAGCAUCCCAGCCUGUCUUCUAUGGUCUACCUGACAACCCUACUUAUUCUGUAGACUCCUCUUCUGGACCAAAGUCUUGCUUGGGCCAUGUGAAAACAACAAAUAUUCACCACAUCCUCUGAGCAUCUGUGGUCCAUUCACUACACCCUGUUUGUGAAGACCUGGAAUAGUACUCACUUAUAAUCACAGGCCUGGUUGUAUUCUCUUUUGUGAUGUUCAUGCCAGUCUGUGUGUUUGUUUGUGUGUGUGUGUGAAGAGGGAAUGCUCUACUCCUCACAGAUUGUAGAAGUUUAAGCACUACAGUCCUGUUUUUGUACAUUCUGUGUUUUACUCCCAUUAGCCACACUUUGGACAGACAUUGUCUUCACAGCCAUAUUCCUGGCUGUGUGUGCUUGGUUGCCUGCAGGGCUAGUGUGGAACAGGCCGAACAACAGCGGCCCCUUUGUGACCUGAUAACAUUUAUAGUUGUAAUGGAUUUUUUUAAUGGCCGUCAUUAAGUCCCAAUGGAGAUGGAGGCGAGGUGGGGAGAGAGAUGGCUUGUGCCUCUUUCCUGUGCUGUUUCAGCUUUAUGGUGUUAUGCUCUCAUGUCAGCUUCCAUCAUUUUUGUUUUACAGCCUGGGUCUACACUUUUGUUCAAAUGUACAGCUCUGUGCGAGGACUCCUUUUGUAUUGACUUGUUACAAUUACCUGUUUUAUGAUAUUAAAUUAAAGGAUU